rnacentral:tRNA from 1 species
GGCGGGGUAAGUCUCACGUUGGUAGAGCGGCGCUCAUUCCUUCAACGCCAUGAUCGGGGGGAGCGCGUGUUGCCGGUUCGAUUCCGGCCCCCGUCA